AGGGUUUUCCAAGCCAAGACUAUGGAGUUGACUGUGGGAUCUUCAUGCUGAUGUCUGCUCUGUACGUGGCACUGGAUGCUUGAUUUGACUAUACUGUAGUAAGUAUUCUAUUUACUUUCACAGCAAUGGAAUCUUGAAUCUUUUGAAAGUUGUUAAAUAUGUUUCAUAUUAAUAUUUUACAGUCAGACAUGCCCUACUUGUGUAAAUGGUGGUGCUUGCUGUUGAUGGAGAACUUUGAUCUCAGGGGGUAUUUAUAUUUUGACUUCUGUUUUUUAUGUUGUGUCAAAGUUUACACACCUUAACAAUAUCAACAUUUUCUGUUAAGCUCUGGCAAGCUAUUUGCACACUGGAGAGAGGAAGCCAAAGCUGUGCUUGAAGGACAACACGUGCCCAUUUUCAGACUGAAAAAGCGCAAGUUCCAGGAAGUCAGUCAGGAGCCAGCAGUUUUUGAAGAUCUGCAUCCUGCUGUGCAGUGGGUUGUCCAAAAUAAGGCACUUUUCCGUGGACACGUAACAAUGCCCAAAUAUCUGUCCUUAAAUCAAGGGGACCAGCAGAGGGUCUUAAGAGACAUGUCAGAGGAAGAAGACACUGGAGCAAGGGACUUGUUCCUCUUUGUUUCAGUUUGCAGAGGACAUGGAGUUCUUUUUGAAAGCAUGU